UAGGGAACCUUCCACAAUGGGCGAAAGCCUGAUGGAGCAACGCCGCGUGUGUGAUGAAGGGUUUCGCCUCGUAAAACACUGUUGUAAGAGAAGAAUGACAUUGAGAGUAACUGUUCAAUGUGUGACGGUAUCUUACCAGAAAGGAACGGCUAAAUACGUGCUAG
rnacentral:rRNA from 1 species